rnacentral:ncRNA from 3 species
GUCGUUGUAGUAUAGUGGUAAGUA